UACGUAGGGGGCUAGCGUUGUCCGGAAUCAUUGGGCGUAAAGCGCGUGUAGGCGGUCCGGUAAGUCCGCUGUGAAAGCCGGGGGCUCAACCCUCGGAUGCCGGUGGAUACUGUCGGGCUUGAAUACGGAAGAGGCGAGUGGAAUUCCUGGUGUAGCGGUGAAAUGCGCAGAUAUCAGGAGGAACACCAAUUGCGAAGGCAGCUCGCUGGGACGUUACUGACGCUGAGACGCGAAAGCGUGGGGAGCAAACAGG
rnacentral:rRNA from 1 species